AGUGAACGCUGGCGGUAUGCCUAACACAUGCAAGUCGAACGGUAGCCGAGUAAGCGCUUGCUUUUCGGGGUGGCGAGUGGUGUACCGGUGCGGAAUCCAUCGGGAUUUAUUUUUUCUUGGGGGAUCAGGUAGGGACGCUUACGAUCUUAGGGUAUACGAGGUGCGGGUGAAGGCCGGGGAUCUUUGGACCUUGCGCGAUUGGAUGAGGCCAUUUCGGAUUUGCUCGUUGGCGGGGUAAAGGCCCACCAAGGUGACGAUCCGUAGCUGGUCUGCGAGGAUGAUCAGCCACACUGGAACUGAGACACGGUCCAGACUCCGACGGGAGGCAGCAGUGGGGAAUAUUGGACAAUGGGCGCAAGCCUGAUCCAGCCAUACCGCGUGGGGGAAGAAGGCCUUCGGGUUGUAAAGCCCUUUUGUUGGGAAAGAAAAGCAGCAGGUUAAUACCCCGCUGUUCUGACGGUACCCAAAGAAUAAGCACCGGCUAACUUCGUG
rnacentral:rRNA from 1 species